UCCCGCGUAGCUCAGUUGGCAGAGCAAUCGGCUGUUAACCGAUAGGUCACUGGUUCGAGCCCAGUCGUGGGAG
rnacentral:tRNA from 1 species